CUCUCUUCAGGAUAUCAUCGCCAAACGGCUCCGCCUGCACCCCCACGCUCUGCAGGGCUGGUCCCCAAGACACAGCAGGUGUUGGAGGGCUGCUCCCCCAUCUAACCAGUCCCUGUAGCAAGUCGCUGGACGUCAGGCACAGAGUGGCACACCAAGUUCUGUGGGGUGAUUUUUCUCCAGUGCCUCCAAGUCAUGGGAAGUCCUAUGUGAGAAUGAAGAGGCCAGCCUUUGAGAACCCGAUGAAGUACGGUCGGCAGAGGACAGUUAUCCUGAGGCGUCCUCCGGUGCCCUGUAAUUCUGCAAGCAAGGGUGGCUCGUCUGAAGACUCAGAUGCGGAGCAAUACUACGUUUACAGUCUGGGAGGACCGUUCUAGUCGCUCAGCUGAGUGGGAAACAAAGCCACGAAGCUGCAGGUCCGCGGUCUGCCUCAUCAGCCAUUCGGCCGUAGGACAGGGCCUUGGAGCACGUGCACCUGGCUGGUGGCUUUCUCGGACCCUUCCCUGGGCUUCAAAUGCCUUCGUCCCUCAUUUUUUCUCCCCUCUUAAUUGGAAGAGGGGACAAAAGUUAUUGUUGCCAUCAUUAUUAAAUUUUCCUUUAAAA